rnacentral:pre_miRNA from 1 species
GAUUUCAAUUGAAAAAGUCAUCAACAACAAAAUUGUAUAACUCAUCAAGAUCUAAAACUUUUAUUUUUACCAUUUCUUCAUCCGAUAAAGUGUUAGUAACAUUGUUCACAAAUUUUACAUAUAUGUGUUAUAGUUUAUAAAACCAUAUAAGAGAUACGUCAAUUUUAUGAACAAUGUUAGUAUCACUUUGUCGAAUUUAAGAAAUGAUAAAAAUAAAAGUUUUAGAUCUUGAUAAGUUAUUCAACUUUUUUGUUGAUAACUAUUUCAGUUGAAAUC